rnacentral:lncRNA from 1 species
CCGUCGCCGGAGCUGCCGGAAUUUGUCCAGAAACCGUCAAGCGGCUACGACUUUCCGGCGUCGAUUAUCUCUCCACGGUAGACGAAUGACCAAGUGGUGACCAUGCACGUGACGGCGACGACGAGACGAAGGGAAUGGUGCAGGUGCGCCGCCAUGAUAUGGCCGGACGGUGAAGUUCCGGCCGGACCUUCUUUGCGGGUUCCGGGUCUCGAGUUCUGAUCUCCCUAUGGAACGAUCUGGAGCGUUAGCUCGAUCAGUGGUUACUUAUACCCCGAAAUAUAAUUGUUUUCGACGGCUUAGAUGAUCCGGUGGCUGAAUGGAUGGCUAAGAUCGCACCG